GAUGAACGCUAGCGGGAGGCUUAACACAUGCAAGCCGAGGGGUAUAGUUAGCUUGCUAACUAGAGACCGGCGCACGGGUGCGUAACGCGUAUGCAACUUGCCCUACUGAAAAGGAUAGCCCUUCGAAAGGAGGAUUAAUACUUUAUAAUAGAAAUCAUGGCAUCAUGAAUUUUUGAAAGAUUUAUCGCAGUAGGAUAGGCAUGCGUAAGAUUAGUUAGUUGGUGAGGUAACGGCUCACCAAGACGAUGAUCUUUAGGGGGCCUGAGAGGGUGAACCCCCACACUGGUACUGAGAACCGGACCAGACUCCUACGGGAGGCAGCAGUGAGGAAUAUUGGACAAUGGGUGGAAGCCUGAUCCAGCCAUCCCGCGUGUAGGAUGACGGCCUUAUGGGUUGUAAACUACUUUUAUCUGGGGAUAAACCUACUUACGUGUAAGUAGCUGAAGGUACCAGAAGAAUAAGCACCGGCUAACUCCGUGCCAGCCGCCGCCGUAACAC
rnacentral:rRNA from 1 species